rnacentral:lncRNA from 1 species
GCAUAGAGGAAACAAGCUUGACGGGUCUACCGUAAAAUCCAUGGAACGUGCUGUAUGUGAUCGUAGCAACAGCAAAGAUUGCCAGAAGAACAGCGAAUAGGGUGUAAGCAAAGAGAACGAGGAAGAGCUGGGGGUCGGGUCGGGUUAGGUUUCGGGUCGGAUCAAACGGGUUAGGGAGGGUUAAGAAGGAGGAGGAGAGGUGAGCUUGCGGGUGGAAGAUGAUGGAAUUGGACUGAGAGAGGGCGGUUUGGAGGGUAGGGUAAACGAUGAGGGAGAAAGAGAGAGGUAAGAGGAAGGAAACAGAAAGGGCUAAGAAAUGGCGG